rnacentral:rRNA from 1 species
GGUGAAUGCUGGCGGCGUGCCUAACACAUGCAAGUCGAGCGGCAGCGCGGGGUGCUUGCACCCUGUCGGCGAGCGGCGAACGGCUGAGUAACGCGUAGGAAUUUGCCCCAAAGUGAGGAAUAACUGCCCGAAAGGGUAGCUAAUGCCGCAUGUGGUCUUCGGAUUAAAGGAUUUAUCCGCUUUGGGAGAGGCCUGCGUUGGAUUAGGUUGUUGGUAGGGUAAUGGCCUACCAAGCCGACGAUCCAUAGCUGGUCUGAGAGGAUGAUCAGCCAGACUGGAACUGAGACACGGUCCAGACUCCUACGGGAGGCAGCAGUGAGGAAUCUUCCACAAUGGGCGAAAGCCUGAUGGAGCAACGCCGCGUGAAGGAUGAAGGCCUUCGGGUUGUAAACUUCUUUUAUGAGUGAAGAAUAUGACGGUAACUCAUGAAUAAGCACCGGCUAACUACGUG